rnacentral:rRNA from 1 species
AUUGAACGCUGGCGGCAUGCCUUACACAUGCAAGUCGAACGGUAACGGGCCUUCGGGUGCCGACGAGUGGCGAACGGGUGAGUAAUACAUCGGAACGUGCCCGAUCGUGGGGGAUAACGAGGCGAAAGCUUUGCUAAUACCGCAUACGAACUACGGAUGAAAGCAGGGGACCGCAAGGCCAUGCGCGGACGGAGCGGCCGAUGGCAGAUUAGGUAGUUGGUGGGAUAAAAGCUUACCAAGCCGACGAUCUGUAGCUGGUCUGAGAGGAUGAUCAGCCACACUGGGACUGAGACACGGCCCAGACUCCUACGGGAGGCAGCAGUGGGGAAUUUUGGACAAUGGGCGCAAGCCUGAUCCAGCCAUGCCGCGUGCAGGAUGAAGGCCUUCGGGUUGUAAACUGCUUUUGUACGGAACGAAAAGCCUUCUUCUAAUACAGGAGGGUCAUGACGGUACCGUAAGAAUAAGCACCGGCUAACUACGUGCCAGCAGCCGCAGUAA